AUUGAACGCUGGCGGCAUGCCUAACACAUGCAAGUCGAACGAGUGGCGGACGGGUGAGUAAUGUCUCGGAAACUGCCCGGUGGCGGGGGAUAACUACUGGAAACGGUAGCUAAUACCGCAUACCAUCGGAUCUGCCCAGAUGGGAUGAGCUAGUAGGUGGGGUAAUGGCUCACCUAGGCCACGAUCCCUAGCUGGUCUGAGAGGAUGACCAGCCACACUGGAACUGAGACACGGUCCAGACUCCUACGGGAGGCAGCAGUGGGGAAUAUUGCACAAUGGGCGAAAGCCUGAUGCAGCCAUGCCGCGUGUAUGAAGAAGGCCUUCGGGUUGUAAAGUACUUUCAGCGGGGAGGCGUUACCCGCAGAAUAAGCACCGGCUAACUCCGGGCCAGCCGCCGCGGUAAUUC
rnacentral:rRNA from 1 species